UCCAUAGUUUAGUGGUAGAACAUUAGCUUCCCAAGCUAAUUGUGUGGGUCCGAUUCCCAUUGGGU
rnacentral:tRNA from 1 species